CUCCAUUAUGAAUAUGAGCAAAAUGAGCAGACACAGUGAUUGAGCAUCUUAUUUUUGAUAUUACAAAUAUGCUCAUAUGCUCUAGUCUUUAAGCAUCUUGUGGUGCUACCAAUGUAUUGUAAGCCACAAUUGCAUGUUAAUAAAUAUAUACGUAAUAUAUCAUGUUUUUAGUGUCGCUGGAGAUAUGUGUCUAUCUUAUAGACUUUAUUGGUGGCCCUCGAGCUCAACUCUCUGGUCCUUUUAUUUUUGACCAUCGUUUCUUUACAACCUUUACAACGACCACAGUUAUAGAAUCCUAUAAGUUCCUCUCCUAAAAGAUCCCUAUCUUUUUCCUUUUUGUCUCAAGUUAUACAAUUUUUAGUUAAGAUUUGUUUUAGAUUCC